CCUACGGGCGGCAGCAGUGGGGAAUAUUGGACAAUGGGGGCAACCCUGAUCCAGCCAUGCCGCGUGUGUGAAGAAGGCCCUCGGGUUGUAAAGCACUUUCAGUGAGGAAGAACGCCUGGUGGUUAAUACCCAUCAGGAAAGACAUCACUCACAGAAGAAGCACCGGCUAACUCCGUGCCAGCAGCCGCGGUAAUACGGAGGGUGCGAGCGUUAAUCGGAAUUACUGGGCGUAAAGCGCGCGUAGGUGGCUUGAUAAGCCGGUUGUGAAAGCCCCGGGCUCAACCUGGGAACGGCAUCCGGAACUGUCAAGCUAGAGUGCAGGAGAGGAAGGUAGAAUUCCCGGUGUAGCGGUGAAAUGCGUAGAGAUCGGGAGGAGUACCAGUGGCGAAGGCGGCCUUCUGGACUGACACUGACACUGAGGUGCGAAAGCGUGGGUAGCAAACAGGAUUAGAUACCCUGGUAGUC
rnacentral:rRNA from 1 species